rnacentral:lncRNA from 1 species
GAAGGGGGCAGGGAAAUGGGACGAUGACCAGAUGUGGCCCAUGGCAAGGCCGUGCAUUGUGAAGGGAGGAGGAGGGUCUGAGAUCCGGGAGCCCUGCAGAGAGUUUGCUGAAGAGUGAAGAAAGGACGGCGUUAGUAAUGGGAUGAGGGAUACUGGAGUCCGAAUUAACAUAGCACACAGAGAGAUAUUCAGGAAAAUACAUCAUAUCUUGCACUUGGGUGGAAAAGAGCAGAAAUCCUUGGUUAACAGGAUUAUACGCAAUGGUGCAGAAAGCAUUCUCUAAAGAAAAAUCAGAGAGGAAGAAACACUGCAUGGAGAAUCCAAGAAACACUCUAAGAAUUGAAGUUAAAAUGUCGGAGGAGGCCUCGUAUGUCUUCUUCUAGGAGGACUCUCAGCUGAUGUUGGUUUUUUUAGUCUGUAUGAGCGAUGGACAAGCUGUCACUACCCAUUAGAUUUUGGGUGGUCCCAGGGGACCAUCCCAAGUUUGAGGAAAGUUGGCAAUGGAAAAAGGAGCAUCUGAUAGGAGCAGUCAGUGAAGUCCUUGGUUCUUACAGAGGCAGAGAGCAUGCUGUUCAGGCGCAGAUGCUGGCGUUGGACACACCCAGAUGUCAGUGUGAAAAGAAAAUAAAAUUCCGGGACCCCAAACUCAAUACACCAAAGGGAAAAGGAAAGCUUGGAAGCUGAGUCACACAAAAAAUCGGUCUUUUGUUUCUAAAUAGACAGCUACAAGAUAAAAGGACACAUGUCUCUCCAGGUGGCCUCCCUCACCUUGACAGUGUGAAUUAACAGCUUAUCUUCAUGGACAUGGGACAAGAGGAGACUGGAAAUCAUCUCCCACACCACCCUCUCCAAGACAAAUUCAUAUUUAACUUCUACUUCUGCUCUGUUGACUUUAUCCUAUGUAAAGUACAGAUUUACUGAGCACGAGACAAA